rnacentral:rRNA from 1 species
AUGGGGAACUGCCUGGUGAUCCAAGACAGAAAGGAGAUCAAGGUGAUGAGCGUCGUCGACGGCGAGAUCCUCAAGGCGCUCCCGCCACCCCUCUCUAAGGGCGCCCCCGCACGCGUCUCCGGCUCAGACCCCGACGACGAGCUCCGGGCGCAGAAACAACACCUCAACCACGUCCGGGUGGGCGACUUGGGGCAGCUGCAUCGUUUGUUCCCCUCCGACGUGAAGGCGCCUUCCGCCGCCGCUGACCCUGGCGCCGUCAUGAGGGUGAAGCUUGUCAUCAGCAAGCAGGAGCUCAGGCGGAUGCUGGGCAAGGACGACAUGGUGGCUCUCAUGCGAAGAGGAUCGGAAGAUCAGCAGCAGGAGGAGAUCGGUUGCUGCAGAGGGUGGCGGCCUGCCUUGCACAGCAUACCUGAAGGCAGCGGUGAUUUAUUCUAUUAG